GGUUGACGUGACGCUCAAUUUUUGUGUCCACAGUGACAAAAUAACUAAAAUUUUAUAAUAUUUAAUUAAAAUUCAUGUUUUUUAUAUGCAUUUCAUUCUUCUACAUCUAAUCCAUCUGCAAACAAUGAGUAUUGUUCUUCAACUAUGCAAAUAUUCUGCUUUGAACAUGCCAUUUGUCCACCGGUGCAACUGUCCACGGUAGAAUUACUUAUCUUAAAACGUCUGUAAUUUAAUGAGAAAUUAAUCUAAAUACAUUAAAAUACUUGAAUGCAUGUCAUACGAGUGUUUACUUAAUGAAUCUAGAGGUUAUAAGUGUUAAGGUCCCUAUGUAGAGUUAUUAUGACACAUUACAUUUUGUCCACAAAACUGGUGUCCUCCUGGAGCAACGGCAUUAUGUAGAUAUAAAACAGACAUUAAUGUGACCACCCCAUUACUGAGAGGGGUCCUUCCACAACCAGGAAGUACAGAAGACAUCACUGGAGCACAUGGACUGUACACAAGAUAUCAGCAGAAGAAAGCAUGCGGGAAAAUCGUUCAGCAAAGCGUGAAGUCUGUGUCGCCAGCAACACAGAAGAAGCUACAAGAGAAAUGGAGAGAGUCAAAGCGGAGAUGUAGGGCAAGGGAAAAAGCCACUAAUGCUGUCCUUGAUCUUACGCCACAAUCACCUCAGGAUCAUGACCAGCCAUUUGAAGAGAUCAAUGACCCCCCAGUGGCAAGGCCAGUUAUCAAUGGAGCCUCAGUGGCAAGGCCGGUUCUGCAUGAAGUGAUCAAUGCUGUCCCAGUACCAGUACCGGUACACGUUUUGUGUAGCACACCAGAGAAGUCCCCCCGAAACCAAAAUCCACCCAAAAAAAGAAGAAAAACUAAAAUGACCAAAGAACUACGGAAACUACAAAAACAAAAUGAGAAAUUAAUGAAGGAACUUGAGGCUGAAAGAAGAAGAGUAAAUACAUUUAGGCGAAAGAAUCAACGCCUCGUGCAAAGACGGAAUAUGGAUAAACGUGCUAACAAAAAAACACAAACAAAGCGAGGAAACACUGGAAUUCAAUUAAAAAUAUAUAUUUUACCUGUGUUUUGACUGAAUUUAAAAUAAUAAAUUUGACUGUACACAA